rnacentral:lncRNA from 13 species
UUUACAUCGUAUUUGUUGUUAGUCCAGUUGGUUUUUAAUACACUCCUGUGUCUGUCAUUUCAGUCAUUCCAAUAAAGCACAACAUUGGCAUAGAUAAUCAAACAGAAUGGUAAUACAGUCCCAUCACAAGACAGCCAAUCACAAGAGAGACCACGGGGAAGUGAAGCUGGACCUGAGGCCUGACACCUGCUUGCUGAGAUCACACUAGAGAACUGAGAAGAAAUCUGCUGGCAAUGAGAGAGGGAAGCAAGUCCCCCACAGCCCCUGCUACAGACUUACCACUCAUUUCCACGGGUGGAGUACUGAAGUGGGAUUUCCUUGUAAGAAUAAGCAAAAGAUGCUAAUUUGCAAAGUCAUUUUCAGUCAUGCAUCCAAUGCACAGAUUGAAGCUUUCAUUGAAAAGCACUUGAAGUUUUCACUGACUCAGUAAGGUGAGUGAGAAAUUUUCUUUGCCAAUAGCAUCAGUAUGAGAUAAUAUGUUUGCUCAUCUCCUCACCUAAGUGAGGAAAAAAUUCUAGAGGUCCGUAGAGUGCCCUUAGCUGAU